GAUGAACGCUGGCGGCGUGCUUAACACAUGCAAGUCGAACGAACCUUCGGGUUAGUGGCGGACGGGUGAGUAACGCGUGGGAAUCUGCCCUCAGGAGGGGGAUAACGGUUGGAAACGACCGCUAAUACCCCAUAUGCCGAGAGGUGAAAUGAAUUUCGCCUGAGGAUGAGCCCGCGUCUGAUUAGCUAGUUGGUGAGGUAAGAGCUCACCAAGGCAUCGAUCAGUAGCUGGUCUGAGAGGAUGAUCAGCCACACUGGGACUGAGACACGGCCCAGACUCCUACGGGAGGCAGCAGUGGGGAAUUUUCCGCAAUGGGCGAAAGCCUGACGGAGCAACGCCGCGUGAGGGAUGAAGGCCUCUGGGCUGUAAACCUCUUUUAUCAAGGAAGAAGAUCUGACGGUACUUGAUGAAUAAGCCACGGCUAAUUCCGUG
rnacentral:rRNA from 1 species